UACGGGGGGGGCAAGCGUUGUUCGGAAUUACUGGGCGUAAAGGGCUCGUAGGCGGCCAACUAAGUCAUACGUGAAAUCCCUCGGCUUAACCGGGGAACUGCGUCUGAUACUGGAUGGCUUGAGUUCGGGAGAGGGAUGCGGAAUUCCAGGUGUAGCGGUGAAAUGCGUAGAGACCCGGAGGAACACCAGUGGCGAAGGCGGCUUCCUGGUCUGCGACUGACGCUGUGGCGCGAAAGCUAGGGGAGCGAACGGG
rnacentral:rRNA from 1 species